CGCAGAAUGGAGCAGUCCGGUAGCUCGUCGGGCUCAUAACCCGAAGGUCGGUGGUUCAAAUCCACCUUCUGCAACCA
rnacentral:tRNA from 1 species